GCCGCGUGUGGGAGGAAGGUUUUAGGACUGUAAACCACUUUUCUCAGGGAAGAAGCACUGACGGUACCUGAGGAAUAAGCAUCGGCUAAUUCCGUGCCAGCAGCCGCGGUAAUACGGGAGAUGCAAGCGUUAUCCGGAAUUAUUGGGCGUAAAGCGUUCGUAGGCGGUUUAACAAGUCCGCUGUCAAAUCCCGCAGCUUAACUGCGGACAGGCAGUAGAAACUGUUAAGCUAGAGUGUGGUAGGGGUAAGGGGAAUUCCCAGUGUAGCGGUGAAAUGCGUAGAUAUUGGGAAGAACACCAGCGGCGAAAGCGCCUUACUGGGCCACAACUGACGCUGAGGGACGAAAGCUAGGGGAGCGAAAGGGAUUAGAUACC
rnacentral:rRNA from 1 species